AUGAGGUGGGACCUGAGACAAGGAGGCACAAAAGCAUAAAAUGUAAUCAGUUCUAAGUAAGGUCAAGUUGGAUGGCUUUGUAAUGGAAAAUAACUGAGGUGCUUGAAGGAAGCUGACAUAGUUUUAGGUCCUUAAGACCUUAGUACAAAAAGUGUAAGAAAAACAGAAUAGAAAAAUGGGACCUGGGGAUGGGGAGUAUCUGGGACUAGCAGAUGUCCAGGAUGGGCGCAGUUAAAUUAACUGAUAGGUAGAAGGACAGGAUGAUUGCUAUGUUUGUGGUGUUAAUGAACCCAUUAAGCUGGUGUAAACAUCUAUUGGGGAAUAUCUGGGACUAGCAGAUGUCCAGGAUGGGUGCAGUUAAACUAACUGAUAGGUAGAAGGACAGGAUGAUUGCUAUGUCUGUAAUGUUAAUUAAGCUGGUGCUUCAAAGACUGCCAGAAGUGAUGAAGAUUGUUGGAAGAAGUAAAUGACUCUCAAAGACCACCACCACAUUUUUGUAUGCAUGCGGGAAACUUUCUGGAAAAUGAUGUAAUUCAUGUGUAGCCUCAUGAAUAUGUAUGUAUGCCCAGUGACUAUAAGGAUGGCCUGUGUAGCAAUACGGCGAUACACGUUAGGAGGAGCUAUCCCCCAUGUCUCCCGGUGCCACAAUAAAGAAUACCUGCUUGUCAACUUGAAAA